UUCUACAGUCAAUUCAGACAAAUAGGCCGUUCUUUAUAAGACAAACAAUUUAACAAAACAGAAACUCUUGAAUAUUAUAAAAUUUAAACUUACAAGAUGGCCCCGAACAUAAAAGUUAAGAAUGGAAAGCAGGGUGGCAUUCAGAAACCAAAGAACGCAUUCAAAGCGGCCAACCAUAGGAAUUCUCCUCAUCUUGAUGAAAGGGCUCUGAUAUACUUGGUUGAAAACAUUGCCAAGAAAUAUCAGCCACAGAGGGUGCCGUUUUAUAAUAAUUAUGUCAGCGCCCUCGAUAUAAAUAGACCAGUAACCCGUUCUAUGACCCAGAAUGAUCCAAAUAUCGUUCUAUUGGGCCCAUAUGAGGGAUUCUUGUAAGGAAGAUCUUAUUUGUUUCGUUAAUGUUCUUAUACGUUCCCUAAAAAGUUUGUGUGCCCAAAAGGCGACGGAAUAGUGGCCCUCAGACCUGAUUAAAGAUUCGUAAAAUCGACAAAGGAAGAACUGUGAUCAUUAUGGGUUCAUAACAUCUUCAAAAGGCACACAAACGUUAUUUUGUUUUAAAAUGUAUUUAAAAUUCAUCGUUUUUUUUUUAACCUCUAAAUAUUCUAAAUUUGUUUGCUCCGACUCAAUCAUAUUUUAGAAUCAUUCACAAAACUGGCUCUACUAGUUCCUGUAUACAGAUCGAACCGUUUGGCCGUUAGACUCAACCCGCAACUUUCAAGUCUGUCCAAUUUGAUCGUGAUUUGAUCUGAGCCGGGGGCGUGAAUCUUAGACUAGUUUUUAAAACACGAGCUUGUCCAAAUUCCUUGGCCGCGCCAAUCAAUACAAAUUGAAAUAGUUCAAAUUAUAAAUAUAGACAUUUUAUCAAUGUUAUCAAAUAUAAUGGAAAUGUAGAAAUAUUGCAGAGCUUAAACACUAAAUCGAAG